AUGGCCACAUCCUAUUGAAAUACUGGCUCUCAUACAAUCACUGAAGUUAAGCGACAUUGAGUCUGGUCAGUACUGAGAUGGGUGACCACUUGGGAAUACCAAGUGCUGUAAG